GGCAUAUGUGUGUGUGUGUGUGUGUGUGUGUGUGUGUGUGUUUGAGUUUGGGGGGGGGGGGGGAUGUGUGUGUGUCUGUACUUCCGUUGGUGCAUGGGAGGUGGCAUACAAGUUUGUGUGUGUGUCUGUGUGAUUGUGUGUGCUUGCAUCGAUGCACAGGAGUAGCAUACAAGCGUCUGUGCGGGCGUGUGUGUGUGUGUGUUCAGGGGCGUGUGUGUGUGUGUGUGUGGGCGUGUGUGUGCAUUGCGUGGGUGCAGCCGUCCUCCCAUAAGGCUCUGGCUCCUCUGAGUCGUCCUGGGUCUGCCGCUGCUAGAUGGAUCCACGCGUGUCUGUAACACAGCUGAGGCCGCUGGGAGGCUGUGGGAGAGCGUUGUGGAGCAGUGGCACACCAAGGUUUUGCACACACACAUACUUGGACACGAUUCAAAACUCUGGCCUGCUCACAUUCUACUUACGCACAAUAGCAAACUCUUGCCCACACUUUCUACCCACACACACUCCAAAACUACUGCUUAAAGCAGUUCUCUCUCUCUCUCUCGCUCUCUCUCUCUCUCUCUCUCUCUCUCUCUCUC